rnacentral:rRNA from 1 species
GAUGAACGCUGGCGGCGUGCCUAAUACAUGCAAGUCGAGCGAACAGACGAGGAGCUUGCUCCUCUGACGUUAGCGGCGGACGGGUGAGUAACACGUGGAUAACCUACCUAUAAGACUGGGAUAACUUCGGGAAACCGGAGCUAAUACCGGAUAAUAUAUUGAACCGCAUGGUUCAAUAGUGAAAGACGGUUUUGCUGUCACUUAUAGAUGGUUCCGCGCCGCAUUAGCUAGUUGGUAAGGUAACGGCUUACCAAGGCAACGAUGCGUAGCCGACCUGAGAGGGGGGUCGGCCACCCGGGAACUGAAACACCGACCAGGCUCCUACGGGAGGCAGCAGUAGGGAAUCGUCCGCAAUGGGCGAAAGCCUUACGGAACAACGCCGCGUGAGUGAUGAAGGUCUUCGGAUCGUAAAACUCUGUUAUUAGGGAAGAACAAAUGUGUAAGUAACUAUGCACGUCUUGACGGUACCUAAUCAGAAAGCCACGGCUAACUACGUG